GACGAACGCUGACGGCGUGCUUAACACAUGCCAGUCGAGCGGAAAGGCCCUUCGGGGUACUCGAGCGGCGAACGGGUGAGUAACACGUGAGUAACCUGCCCCAGACUUUGGGAUAACCCUCGGAAACGGGGGCUAAUACCGGAUACGACACAGCUUCGCAUGGGGUCUGUGUGGAAAGUUUUUCGGUUUGGGAUGGGCUCGCGGCCUAUCAGCUUGUUGGUGGGGUGAUGGCCUACCAAGGCGACGACGGGUAGCCGGCCUGAGAGGGCGACCGGCCACACUGGGACUGAGGCACGGCCCAGACUCCUACGGGAGGCAGCAGUGGGGAAUAUUGCACAAUGGGCGGAAGCCUGAUGCAGCGACGCCGCGUGAGGGAUGACGGCCUUCGGGUUGUAAACCUCUUUCAGCAGGGACGAAGCGUAAGUGACGGUACCUGCAGAAGAAGCGCCGGCCAACUACGUG
rnacentral:rRNA from 1 species